AUUACCUGUAAGUGCUUGAUUACAGAAUAUGUAGUUAUUUUGUUUGCUUCUGUUUUCUAUCCUCAACCUGCCUUUUUCUUUCGUCAUUCUCUCCUUAUACCUUCUAUGAGCCUUUAGCACUCAGUUUGAUUUCAUAAUAGUAGAAGAAAUUGCAAGUUAACUACUUUUCUUUCAUUCUAAUUGUUGGCAAUAAAUAUUGCAUUGGAAUAUUUUAGGUCUGGCUGUAAUGUUUGCUCAAAGUUUGACCUAGAUCAAUGCUGAAUGAUUCAUUCUUGCUUUAUUAAAUACUUAAAUUGCUGAUUUUCUUUUGUUUUAAUCUCGGCAGCUAUAUGCCCAUUUCUGGCUUCCA
rnacentral:misc_RNA from 1 species